rnacentral:rRNA from 1 species
GCCUAAUACAUGCAAGUCGAGCGAGCGGAACUAACAGAUUUACUUCGGUAAUGACGUUAGGAAAGCGAGCGGCGGAUGGGUGAGUAACACGUGGGGAACCUGCCCCAUAGUCUGGGAUACCACUUGGAAACAGGUGCUAAUACCGGAUAAGAAAGCAGAUCGCAUGAUCAGCUUUUAAAAGGCGGCGUAAGCUGUCGCUAUGGGAUGGCCCCGCGGUGCAUUAGCUAGUUGGUAAGGUAAAGGCUUACCAAGGCGAUGAUGCAUAGCCGAGUUGAGAGACUGAUCGGCCACAUUGGGACUGAGACACGGCCCAAACUCCUACGGGAGGCAGCAGUAGGGAAUCUUCCACAAUGGACGCAAGUCUGAUGGAGCAACGCCGCGUGAGUGAAGAAGGUUUUCGGAUCGUAAAGCUCUGUUGUUGGUGAAGAAGGAUAGAGGUAGUAACUGGCCUUUAUUUGACGGUAAUCAACCAGAAAGUCACGGCUAACUACGUGCCAGCAGCCGCGGUAAUACGUAGGUGGCAAGCGUUGUCCGGAUUUAUUGGGCGUAAAGCGAGCGCAGCCGGAAGAAUAAGUCUGAUGUGAAAGCCCUCGGCUUAACCGAGGAACUGCAUCGGAAACUGUUUUUCUUGAGUGCAGAAGAGGAGAGUGGAACUCCAUGUGUAGCGGUGGAAUGCGUAGAUAUAUGGAAGAACACCAGUGGCGAAGGCGGCUCUCUGGUCUGCAACUGACGCUGAGGCUCGAAAGCAUGGGUAGCGAACAGGAUUAGAUACCCUGGUAGUCCAUGCCGUAAACGAUGAGUGCUAAGUGUUGGGAGGUUUCGGCCUCUCAGUGCUGCAGCUAACGCAUUAAGCACUCCGCCUGGCGAGUACGACCGCAAGGUUGAAACUCAAAGGAAUUGACGGGGGCCCGCACAAGCGGUGGAGCAUGUGGUUUAAUUCGAAGCAACGCGAAGAACCUU